CUUGCUCCCUGAGAUUAGCGGCGGACGGGUGAGUAACACGUGGGCAACCUGCCUAUAAGACUGGGAUAACUUCGGGAAACCGGAGCUAAUACCGGAUACGUUCUUUUCUCGCAUGAGAGAAGAUGGAAAGACGGUUUACGCUGUCACUUAUAGAUGGGCCCGCGGCGCAUUAGCUAGUUGGUGAGGUAAUGGCUCACCAAGGCGACGAUGCGUAGCCGACCUGAGAGGGUGAUCGGCCACACUGGGACUGAGACACGGCCCAGACUCCUACGGGAGGCAGCAGUAGGGAAUCUUCCGCAAUGGACGAAAGUCUGACGGAGCAACGCCGCGUGAACGAAGAGAGGCCUUCGGGUCGUAAAGUUCUGUUGUUAGGGAAGAACAAGUACCAGAGUAACUGCUGGUACCUUGACGGUACCUAACCAGAAAGCCACGGCUAACUACGUGCCAGCAGCCGCGGUAAUACGUAGGUGGCAAGCGUUGUCCGGAAUUAUUGGGGCG
rnacentral:rRNA from 1 species